rnacentral:lncRNA from 1 species
UACGUUUUCAGUACGUAUUUUUCAAAAUAAAACCAUAGAACUUACUCACUUACAUGAAAAAGAUUUCAUCUCUCUCAAUUUCUACCAUUUCCUAAACUCUAAAUCCUCCAAUUUCGUCGCACCAUCGGAGCACCUUCUUCACCGCCGUCGAGACGGCCGCCGACGCCGUCUGUACCGCCGCCGAAGCGCGCCGCCUUCUGGAAACCCUAAUUCUGGGUAUGUUGUGCAGAUUAGGUGGAAAUCCUAAUAUUUGAAUGUGUGGGAUAAGGGCUGCGUGGCUUAGUAAAUAAGCUAGGGUUUGAUAGUGGACUUGUUGGCUUGUGGGCUUUUGGGCUAAAUUUAACUACUUAUUUAUCCUAUUUGGUUAUGAAUGUGCUUGGGCUAAAUUUAACUUAGUUAUUUACUCUAUUUGAUUAUGAAUGCGCUUAUUUAAUUUAUAUAAUAUUAUUAUUAAUAAAAAAAUUAAAAAAAUAUAAACGUAUUUUUAACGUAUUCGUAUUGUGAUUUUUUGAAAAUGGAC